UACGAAGGGGGCUAGCGUUGUUCGGAAUUACUGGGCGUAAAGCGCGUGUAGGCGGGUCCUUAAGUCAGGGGUGAAAUGCCAAGGCUCAACCUUGGAACUGCCUUUGAUACUGGGGAUCUUGAGUCCGGGAGAGGUGAGUGGAACUGCGGGUGUAGAGGUGAAAUUCGUAGAUAUUCGCAAGAACACCAGUGGCGAAGGCGGCUAUCUGGACGGUUUCUGACACUAAGACUCGAAAGCGUGGGGAGCAAACAGG
rnacentral:rRNA from 1 species